ensembl:snoRNA SNORA72 Small nucleolar RNA SNORA72
CUGUGAGUAUUCUCGCUAUUCUGAUUUUGUAAUAAUCAGGGCAGGCUAAACGUUUGCAAUAUGAAGACCAUGCAUAUGUCCCCAGACCUAGUUCUUUCCCUAGGUCUAGUUCUAUAAAUGCUGAUGAUAACC